GAUGAACGCUGGCGGCGGGCCUAAUACAUGCAAGUCGAGCGGACGGAGGGGGCUCUUUCCCCGCUUCCGUGGGCGGCGGGCGGGUAAGUCCCACGAAUAUGACCGGCAUAUGGGGCUGACAUCCCGUAAGGGGCGCGGAUAUCGCACACGUUAAGAGGGUGAAACGGAGGGGUCAUUGGAGCCCACGGGUUUUGAUGACCCUAGGUCGGAUUAGCUAGUUGGUGGGGUAAAGGCCUACCAAGGCGACGAUCCGUAACUGGUCUGAGAGGAUGAUCAGUCACACUGGAACUGAGACACGGUCCAGACUCCUACGGGAGGCAGCAGUGGGGAAUAUUGGACAAUGGGCGAAAGCCUGAUCCAGCCAUGCCGCGUGUGUGAAGAAGGUCUUCGGAUUGUAAAGCACUUUAAGUUGGGAGGAAGGGCAGUAAGUUAAUACCUUGCUGUUUUGACGUUACCAACAGAAUAAGCACCGGCUAACUUCGUG
rnacentral:rRNA from 1 species